ACGCUCGACACCUACGAGAGGCAGCAGUGGGGAAUAUUGCACAAUGGGGGAAACCCUGAUGCAGCGACGCCGCGUGAAGGAAGAAGUAUUUCGGUAUGUAAACUUCUAUCAGCAGGGAAGAAAAUGACGGUACCUGAGUAAGAAGCACCGGCUAAAUAACGUGCCAGCAGCCGCGGUAAUCUGAGCGGGCUGGCAAGGC
rnacentral:rRNA from 1 species